CCUACGGGAGGCAGCAGUGGGGAAUAUUGCACAAUGGGGGAAACCCUGAUGCAGCGACGCCGCGUGAGUGAAGAAGUACUUCGUUAUGUAAAGCUCUAUCAGCAGGGAAGAAAAUGACGGUACCUGAGUAAGAAGCCACGGCUAACUACGUGCCAGCAGCCGCGGUCAUACGUAGGGGGCAAGCGUUAUCCGGAUUUACUGGGUGUAAAGGGAGCGUAGACGGCGAUGCAAGUCUGAAGUGAAAGCCGGGGGCCCAACGUCCGGACUGCCUUGGAAACUGUAUGGCUGGAGUGCGGGAGAGGUAAGUGGAAUUCGUGGUGUAGCGGUGAAAUGCGUAGAUAUCAGGAGGAACACCAGUGGCGAAGGCGGCUUACUGGACUGUAACUGACGUUGAGGCUCGAAAGCGUGGGGAGCAAACAGGAUUAGAUACCCCAGUAGUC
rnacentral:rRNA from 1 species